rnacentral:rRNA from 1 species
CAGUAGCCGCGGUAAUACGGAGGGGGCUAGCGUUGUUCGGAAUUACUGGGCGUAAAGCGCGCGUAGGCGGCUUGGUAAGUUAGAGGUGAAAGCCUGGGGCUCAACCCCAGAAUUGCCUUUAAGACUGCCGAGCUAGUAGGUGAGAGAGGUAAGUGGAAUUCCGAGUGUAGAGGUGAAAUUCGUAGAUAUUCGGAAGAACACCAGUGGCGAAGGCGGCUUACUGGCUCAUACUAGACGCUGAGGUGCGAAAGCGUGGGGAGCAAACAGGAUUAGAGACCCGCGUAGUCCCUGUCUCUUAUAC